GGACUGUAGUCUGCAACCCGACUACACGAAGCUGGAAUCGCUAGUAAUCGCGAAUCGGAAUGUCGCGGUGAAUACGUUCCCGGGUCUUGUACACACCGCCCGUCACACCAUGGGAGUCGGGAAUGCCCGAAGUCAGUGACCCAACCUAUUGGAGGGAGCUGCCGAAGGCAGGUCUGAUAACUGGGGUGAAGUCGUAACAAGGUACC
rnacentral:rRNA from 1 species